rnacentral:hammerhead_ribozyme from 1 species
AUCCAGUUGACAAGUCCCAAAUAGGACGAAACGCAUGUCCUAGAU